UACAGAGGUCCCAAGCGUUGUUCGGAUUCACUGGGCGUAAAGGGUGCGCAGGUGGGUUGGCAAGUUUGAUGUGAAAGCCCCGGGCUCAACCCGGGAAGUGCACCCGAUACUGCGAGGCUUGAGUGUCGGAGAGGUUGGUGGAAUUCUCGGUGUAGAGGUGAAAUUCGUAGAUAUCGAGAGGAACACCGGUGGCGAAGGCGGCCAACUGGACGAACACUGACGCUGAGACACGAAAGCGUGGGGAGCAAACAGG
rnacentral:rRNA from 1 species